UUCGUUCCGUUGAAUGUUGUUCUGGUUCUUUCUGAUUUUCCUCAACUUCAGUAACCACAGGUUCACCUUUUACUGUUUCUGUAGGCUCAACUUCAGUAGCCACAGGUUCUUCUUUUACCGUUUCUGUAGCUUGAACUUCAGUAGCCACAGGUUCUUCUUUUACCAUUUCUCUAGGAUCAACUUCAGUAACCACAGGUUUGACUUUUACUGAUUCUGUCAGAUCAACUUCAGUAACCAGGGGUUCUUUUACUGUUUUUGUAAUUUCAACUUCUGUAGCCACAGCUUCUUCUUUUACUGUCUCUGUAGGAUCAACUUCAGUAACUAUAGGUUCGUCUUUUACCGUUUCUGUUGCCUCGAAUUCAGUAGCUGCAGGUUCAUCUUUUACCAUUUCUGUAGGCUCAACUACAGUUGUCACAGGUUCUUCUUUUACGGUUUCUGUAGCUUCAACUUCAGUAGCCACAGAUUCUUCUUUUACUGUUUCUGUAGCUUCAACUUCAGUAGCCACUGGUUCUUCUUUUACUGUUUCUGUAGCUUCAACUUCAGUAGCCACUGGUUCUUCUUUUACUGUUUCUGUAGCUUCAACUUCAGUAGCUGCAGGUUCGUCUUUUACCGUUUCUGUAGCCUCAACUUCAGUUGCCACAGGUUCUUCUUUUACCGUUUCUGUAGGCUCAACUUCAGUAGCCACGGGUUCUUCUUUUACUGUUUCUGUAGCUUCAGCUUCAGUAGCUAGAGGUUCUUCUUUUACCGUUUCUGUAGGAUCAACUUCAGUAACCACAGGUUCGUCUUUUACGGUUUCUGUAACCUUAACUUCAGUAGCUGCAGGUUCUUCUUUUACUGUUUCCGUAGCCUCAACUUCAGUAGCCACAAGUUCUUCUUUUAGUGUUUCUGUAGCCUCAACUUCAGUAACCACGGGUUCUUCUUUUACUAUCUCUGCA
rnacentral:lncRNA from 1 species